AUACGUAGGGAGCGAGCGUUGUCCGGAAUUACUGGGCGUAAAGGGUGCGUAGGCGGCAUGGCAAGUCAGAUGUGAAAUCCCCGGGCUUAACUCGGGAGUUGCAUUUGAAACUGCUGUGCUUGAGUGCAGGAGAGGAAAGCGGAAUUCCUAGUGUAGCGGUGAAAUGCGUAGAUAUUAGGAGGAACACCAGUGGCGAAGGCGGCUUUCUGGACUGUAACUGACGCUGAGGCACGAAAGCGUGGGGAGCAAACAGGAUUAGAUACCCUGGUAGUCCACGCUGUAAACGAUGGAUACUAGGUGUGGGGGAGAUACAACCUCCGUGCCGGAGCAAACGCAAUAAGUAUCCCGCCUGGGGAGUACGGCCGCAAGGCUGAA
rnacentral:rRNA from 1 species